AGUGAACGCUGGCGGUAGGCCUAACACAUGCAAGUCGAACGGCAGCACAGUAAGAGCUUGCUCUUACGGGUGGCGAGUGGCGGACGUGUGAGGAAUACAUCGGAAUCUACUUUUUCGUGGGGGAUAACGUAGGGAAACUUACGCUAAUACCGCAUACGACCUACGGGUGAAAGCAGGGGAUCUUCGGACCUUGCGCGAUUGAAUGAGCCGAUGUCGGAUUAGCUAGUUGGCGGGGUAAAGGCCCACCAAGGCGACGAUCCGUAGCUGGUCUGAGAGGAUGGUCGGCCACACUGGAACUGAGACACGGUCCAGGCUCCUACGGGAGGGAGCAGUGGGGAAUAUUGGACAAUGGGCGCAAGCCUGAUCCAGCCAUACCGCGUGGGUGAAGAAGGCCUUCGGGUUGUAAAGCCCUUUUGUUGGGAAAGAAAAGCAGCAGGUUAAUACCCCGCUGUUCUGACGGUACCCAAAGAAUAAGCACCGGCUAACUUCGUG
rnacentral:rRNA from 1 species